rnacentral:rRNA from 1 species
CCUACGGGUGGCAGCAGUGAGGAAUAUUGGUCAAUGGACGAGUGUCUGAACCAGCCAAGUAGCGUGAAGGAUGACUGCCCUAUGGGUUGUAAACUUCUUUUAUAUGGGAAUAAAACGUUCCACGUGUGGGAUUUUGUAUGUACCAUAUGAAUAAGGAUCGGCUAACUCCGUGCCAGCAGCCGCGGUAAUACGGAGGAUCCGAGCGUUAUCCGGAUUUAUUGGGUUUAAAGGGAGCGUAGGUGGAUUGUUAAGUCAGUUGUGAAAGUUUGCGGCUCAACCGUAAAAUUGCAGUUGAAACUGGCAGUCUUGAGUACAGUAGAGGUGGGCGGAAUUCGUGGUGUAGCGGUGAAAUGCUUAGAUAUCACGAAGAACUCCGAUUGCGAAGGCAGUUCACUGGACUGCAACUGACACUGAGGCUCGAAAGUGUGGGUAUCAAACAGGAUUAGAUACCCUUGUAGUC